AACUUGCUACAAUGUAUCUCGUGGUUCUGGCAUCGAUUAAGAACGCAGCGAAAUGCGAUAAGUAAUGUGAAUUGCAGAAUUCAGUGAAUCAUCGAAUCUUUGAACGCACAUUGCGCCCCUUGGUAUUCCGAGGGGCAUGCCUGUUCGAGCGUCAUUAUAACCACUCAAGCCUCGGCUUGGUCUUGGGGUUCGCGGUCUCGCGGCUCUUAAAAUCAGUGGCAGUGCCGUCUGGCUCUAAGCGUAGUAAUUCUCUCGCUAUAGAGUUCCGGUGGUUACUUGCCAAAACCCCUAAUUUUUUAACGGUUGACCUCGGAUCAGGUAGGGAUACCCGCUGAACUUAAGCAUAUCAAUAAGCGGAGGCU
rnacentral:misc_RNA from 1 species